UGGUGCAGAUCUGUCACCACUUUGAGCACAUCUGGUAACCAAGAUCCACAGUCUCUCCCAUCAAGACGCUUAUAUGCACAGACUCAUACAUACCUCCUUGGAGUCCUGACAUGGACCAGCCAUGGAUGUUUCAGUGGAGGAAGCAGGAGCCCGGAAUGGAUCUCCUGUGAAAAUGGAGGGACGACUAUAUUGUUUGCUAUUGUACCUGAGCAUUGUAGUUUUUGGAAGCCAGGAACCCAGAGCAGAAUCAAAGCAUGGUGCAGGAAGAUCCUGACAUUUCAGACAGGUUCUGAGAACCCAUUAUGGGGCUUCAGAGGAGGAGUCACUCCUUUCUGGUUCCACUGUUGGGAGCAGCAUUAUCAGCAGAACAACUCCACAGAACAAUUGUAAUUUGCAACCAAAUCAAAUUCCAU